ensembl:lincRNA Gm839 predicted gene 839
GAAGAAGAAAAUUUUAAGGAAAUGCAUUCAGAAAGGGAUUAUGUAGGUCAUAAGUGAUGGAGCAGUCAUGUGUGAGAGCUAUUGCCAACUCUAAUUAAGCACAGAUUUAAAAUAUAUAUAUAUAUUUACACUGAGAUCAAGUCAAGAUUCCAAACAACCACCCAGAGUGCUAGGAGCUUCACAGAAGACAACACAGGAUGGAGCUGCACGGAACUCUGGCAAAGACUGUCAAGGUCAAAGCAAUGGCACCUUAAUUCAACUUCAGCAUCCUUCAAUGUAAAUGUGACCUUGGAACAGUUACACUCCCAAAGCCAUUUGUUGGCUCAAAUUCUGAUAGGGUCCAACUCAGGCUGAUUGCAGUGUCCUGCUGAACUGUCUCUCCAGGACACAGCCUCAGAGACAAUGCAGCAAAAUCUCUGGUGUCCAGCAAUGAAGUUCUCAGAGCACACUACCUCUGUGCCCAAGAUCGAGCCAUGGACCAAGAAGCUCCCACGAUAUAGCCACUUAGUGUAUGACGCUGAUGUCCAAAUGUCUGACUGGACCCCCGAAGAGACAGACAACUGGAUGAGGUUGACUCUUGCUGCAGCUGUAGUGUGGUCAAUGCGGACCUGCAGAUUUUCUCGACAUGGGAGGAACAACACAUUGCUGGCAUAGCGGCCGCAGCUGCCACAUGUCAUCGUCCCAUGGGAACAGCAAACCCCAAACCCUUGUUCAUCUCCACUCUGACAGGAGAUUUUUUUAACGUUUAUAGAAGAAGAGAAAGAGGAAGAGGAAGAUGAAGAAGAACCAGACAACUCAUUGAAUCGGGCAGAAUAGACUCCAAUGAGAGGCAGUAUAAAAAGAUGGGAUCCUGGCUUUCCAAGACCUGAUCUCAGCCCAGAACUCCUGCCUCUUUCUCCUUCCCUGGCCUAAGUCUCUGAGCCCCCAGCCCAGGCCUGGAGCACCUUCACUCCUCCAGUUUUCAGGGUUCUACCCGGGCUCCUUCUCUUUUAAGGCUCAGUGGUUCAUCUGAGCGCCCCAGAAACACCCAAUAAAGUGUCCCUUUGGCCAGGGUCCAUGCUCUACUACUUAAGGAUUUUCCGACAUAAAUACCUUAGACUUCAUCCCCAGGCUUAAAAUAGACCCUUGUAAUCAUCUCCACUGACACACCUGCAAGAUGCCCUCCUAGAGUGUAGGUGUAGUGCCACACUAUCAGAAAAGGCCACUUAUACCAGCUUCUGUACUGGCCCCAUUUAUAGGGUCUGACACCCCUGGGUGUUCAGAACCAGGCUGCCUACAAAAACCUCAUUAGGGUGGGGGUAUGUGCCUCUGAGCCCUCUAGCAUACAAUCCACAACCUGUAUCAGCCAGAGUCGGACCUCCAGAAGACAAAGAGCAAGGAGGGCAGCUUGAGAGACUUUCCCAGGACUGUGGACUCUGAUGAAUUCUCCCUUGCUUCCCAGAUUGGCAGGAUUUGGCUCCUGGGUGCAGCCUCCCAAUCCUGAAGUUUUCUUCACUCAGGUCAUUAUGCUGUGACAAGGUGACAACAGGACUCUCUAGUGCCUUCUCUAAGAAAGGACCCCAUCACCCCACCUCCAUCCUCAUCCCCUAAUCCUGCCCUGCCCUCCAGUGCCCUGCCCUGCCCUCUAUGCCAGUUCUAGACUUUCAAAUGAUGGUAGACAACCGCCCCCCCAACCCCCUCUUAGCACCGACCACUGUCACUCCUUGAAGCAUCUCAUUGCAUUCUCCAAUAAAGUCUUCCCUACA